GUGCUCACUUCGGCAGCACAUAUACUAAAAUUGGGAUGAUACAGAGAAGAUUAGCAUGGCCCCUGCACAAGGAUGACACACAAAUUCAGGAAGCAUUCCAUAUUUAA
rnacentral:snRNA from 1 species